GCUUGAAGUCAGUCGCGUUGAUUGAGACUCAGCCUUGCUUUGCAUGGUGUACUUCUCAGUUAACGGGUCAACAUCAAUUUCAGUUGGUGGAUAAAGGCAUUGGGAAUGUGGCACCUUCGGGUGUGUUAUAGCCCUUUGUUGCAUACACUGACCGGGAUUGAGGAACGCAGCACGCCACUAAGGCCAGGGAUUCGUCCCAUGUAACGUGCUUAGGAUGUUGGCAUAAUGGCUUUAAGCGA
rnacentral:rRNA from 1 species